CCUACGGGAGGCUGCAGUAGGGAAUAUUGCUCAAUGGGGGAAACCCUGAAGCAGCAACGCCGCGUGGAGGAUGAAGGUUUUAGGAUUGUAAACUCCUUUUGUGAGAGAAGAUAAUGACGGUAUCUCACGAAUAAGCACCGGCCAAUUCCGUGCCAGUAGCCGCGGUCAUACGGAGGGUGCAAGCUUUACUCGGAAUCACUGGGCGUAAAGAGUGCGCAGGCGGGUGUGUAAGUCAGAUGUGAAAUCCUGUAGCUUAACUACAGAACUGCAUUUGAAACUAUGAGUCUAGAGUGUGGGAGAGGUAGGUGGAAUUCUUGGUGUAGGGGUGAAAUGCGUAGAUAUCACGAAGAAUACUGAUUGCGAAGGCGACCUACUGGAACAUUACUGACGCUCAUGCACGAAAGCGUGGGGAGCAAACAGGAUUAGAUACCCUGGUAGUC
rnacentral:rRNA from 1 species